AGAUAACUUUGGAAUCGUUGUAGACGAGUUUGCGAACAGAUUCGUGAAAUUCGAUAACUGUUUACGGUAUAAGGCUAUCGCCGCUUUGGUGUAAACUCGGCCUGAGAAGCCUUUGGACGUGGAGAAGUCGUUGAAACGCAGCAAGGAACUGCUAGACGUAGCGAGAAACACGUCGAUGAACCAUCGAAGACAGUGCUCUCCUCUUAUGUGAUCCAAGCUCGAACGAACGAAAGCAAAUGAAAAAGACAAAAAGCGAGCAAGAAGAGAAGAAAAAAGAGAAGAGAUAUAUAAGAACCUUCGAAGAGACUGAAGAGUAGAACGAACAGAUAGAAACAGAGUAAAUGCUACAGCUUAGAGCGAAGAAGGAUAGGACGAGGCCAAGGGAUAAAAAAAGAAAAGGGAAGAGCGUGUUUUCGAGCGGAGAAAAGGAUCAAAGGAGGCUGAGAAGAGAGCAAGAGGCGAGAGACUGGAGGAUCGAAGGUGUUUUUCGGGGCGUGGCGAGGGCCGCGUGAUUACCAGGAGGAUCGGUUAGCGCGGUGAGAGUUCAAAGCAUCAAAGAGGCCCGACCAGCGAGAAAUUGCUUAGGAUUCAUCUGCCGGCACGGGACCCUCCGGACGCGUUUCGUUCUCUUCUCUUCUCUUCUCUUCUCGUUCUCUAUCUGUUCUGCGGAUGGGGUAUUGUGAAUACGCCUGGCACCUUGGACCGCGAUCCGACUCUGCUCCAUGAUGGGCCUCGCAGCACUCGCAGCGGCAAUAUUUUUGGACAUCGCUGGAUGCAUGCAUGGAGUUUGCAUAGACCGUCGAUAUAGCCACUUGGCUCGCUUAGGGACAAUCGUUAGGUAAGACGAGAUGAUGCUUUGCCUCGUGACAUUUUGCGCACGCGAUUCCUGGUGAGAAACGCAGAUUCAAGAAAAGGAUCAUUCGAGAUGAAGUUGACUCGAUGAGUGAUGGAGGAUUUUAAAGGCAGAGAAUAAGUAUCACAACGUUGUGAAGCUUUCGAUGGAAUUGCACCAGGUGGCCAACCAAUCCAGAUGUUGCAACUUAUUGUUCAGAGAGCGUGGUUAGCUAGGAAAUUGAAAAUAUUGGUUGAUGAAACUUUCAACGCUGAAGAAGCAAAAAGAAGAAAGUGUUCUUAUAAAACGUGACCGUUCAUUAGCAGCGCCAUCCAGCGGCUAAUUUUAUGAAACUGCGUAGACAAAAUAAUAAAACCAUUGAAAAUAUUGCAAG